UACGUAGGGACCAAGCGUUGUUCGGAUUUACUGGGCGUAAAGGGCGCGUAGGCGGCCACCGCAAGUCGACUGUGAAAUCUCCGGGCUUAACUCGGAAAGGUCAGCCGAUACUGCGGGGCUAGAGUGCAGAAGGGGCAACUGGAAUUCUCGGUGUAGCGGUGAAAUGCGUAGAUAUCGGGAGGAACAUCGAUGGCGAAGGCAAUCACCUGGGCCUGAACUGACACUGAGACACGAAAGCGUGGGUAGCAAACAGG
rnacentral:rRNA from 1 species